rnacentral:lncRNA from 1 species
GAAAGUAAAAUAUCUACAGUCAGGCAGCAUGGACCUCAGUUAGCCAAGAGAGCUGCCACCCAGCCAGCCACCAGUUUCAUGCAGUGACUAAUUAUAGCCAGUGGACAUGUGAUUAUCUUUUAAAGUCAUUUUCCUUGGAACGCGUUUUAUGAACCUAACAUUGCAGAAGAAUGUCUGCUUACUCCAGGGCACUUCAGUAUUCCUGAGGAAUAAAUAUGAUUUCGCUUUUCCUCCCACUGGGACAUUCUCAGGUAUGGAGGAAGAGGAAAAGAGUCUACACAGACCCAAAAACAAAGAAAGUCUUUCAGGAGCAGGCUGUGAUGAAGCAGUGGGAUUCAGGAUGGAAUGUAAUGUCAGAACACAAGCCCUCCCUGGAAAUCCAAAGGACAAUACCAGUGGUAGAGGUACCACUGUUUUUUCUCCAGAACUGGGAGGUCCCAUAAGGUAA